rnacentral:rRNA from 1 species
GACGAACGCUGGCGGCGUGCUUAACACAUGCAAGUCGAACGGAAAGGCCCUGCUUUUGUGGGGUGCUCGAGUGGCGAACGGGUGAGUAACACGUGAGUAACCUGCCCUUGACUUUGGGAUAACUUCAGGAAACUGGGGCUAAUACCGGAUAGGAGCUCCUGCUGCAUGGUGGGGGUUGGAAAGUUUCGGCGGUUGGGGAUGGACUCGCGGCUUAUCAGCUUGUUGGUGGGGUAGUGGCUUACCAAGGCUUUGACGGGUAGCCGGCCUGGGAGGGUGACCGGCCACAUUGGGACUGAGAUACGGCCCAGACUCCUACGGGAGGCAGCAGUGGGGAAUAUUGCACAAUGGGCGGAAGCCUGAUGCAGCAACGCCGCGUGCGGGAUGACGGCCUUCGGAUUGUAAACCGCUUUCGCCUGUGACGAAGCGUGAGUGACGGUAAUGGGUAAAGAAGCACCGGCUAACUACGUG